rnacentral:rRNA from 1 species
GGUUAAGCGACUAAGCGUACACGGUGGAUGCCCUGGCAGUCAGAGGCGAUGAAGGACGUGCUAAUCUGCGAUAAGCGUCGGUAAGGUGAUAUGAACCGUUAUAACCGGCGAUUUCCGAAUGGGGAAACCCAGUGUGUUUCGACACACUAUCAUUAACUGAAUCCAUAGGUUAAUGAGGCGAACCGGGGGAACUGAAACAUCUAAGUACCCCGAGGAAAAGAAAUCAACCGAGAUUCCCCCAGUAGCGGCGAGCGAACGGGGAGGAGCCCAGAGCCUGAAUCAGUGUGUGUGUUAGUGGAAGCGUCUGGAAAGGCGCGCGAUACAGGGUGACAGCCCCGUACACAAAAAUGCACAUGCUGUGAGCUCGAUGAGUAGGGCGGGACACGUGGUAUCCUGUCUGAAUAUGGGGGGACCAUCCUCCAAGGCUAAAUACUCCUGACUGACCGAUAGUGAACCAGUACCGUGAGGGAAAGGCGAAAAGAACCCCGGCGAGGGGAGUGAAAAAGAACCUGAAACCGUGUACGUACAAGCAGUGGGAGCCUCUUUAUGGGGUGACUGCGUACCUUUUGUAUAAUGGGUCAGCGACUUAUAUUCUGUAGCAAGGUUAACCGAAUAGGGGAGCCGAAGGGAAACCGAGUCUUAACUGGGCGUUAAGUUGCAGGGUAUAGACCCGAAACCCGGUGAUCUAGCCAUGGGCAGGUUGAAGGUUGGGUAACACUAACUGGAGGACCGAACCGACUAAUGUUGAAAAAUUAGCGGAUGACUUGUGGCUGGGGGUGAAAGGCCAAUCAAACCGGGAGAUAGCUGGUUCUCCCCGAAAGCUAUUUAGGUAGCGCCUCGUGAAUUCAUCUCCGGGGGUAGAGCACUGUUUCGGCAAGGGGGUCAUCCCGACUUACCAACCCGAUGCAAACUGCGAAUACCGGAGAAUGUUAUCACGGGAGACACACGGCGGGUGCUAACGUCCGUCGUGAAGAGGGAAACAACCCAGACCGCCAGCUAAGGUCCCAAAGUCAUGGUUAAGUGGGAAACGAUGUGGGAAGGCCCAGACAGCCAGGAUGUUGGCUUAGAAGCAGCCAUCAUUUAAAGAAAGCGUAAUAGCUCACUGGUCGAGUCGGCCUGCGCGGAAGAUGUAACGGGGCUAAACCAUGCACCGAAGCUGCGGCAGCGACACUAUGUGUUGUUGGGUAGGGGAGCGUUCUGUAAGCCUGUGAAGGUGGCCUGUGAGGGUUGCUGGAGGUAUCAGAAGUGCGAAUGCUGACAUAAGUAACGAUAAAGCGGGUGAAAAGCCCGCUCGCCGGAAGACCAAGGGUUCCUGUCCAACGUUAAUCGGGGCAGGGUGAGUCGACCCCUAAGGCGAGGCCGAAAGGCGUAGUCGAUGGGAAACAGGUUAAUAUUCCUGUACUUGGUGUUACUGCGAAGGGGGGACGGAGAAGGCUAUGUUGGCCGGGCGACGGUUGUCCCGGUUUAAGCGUGUAGGCUGGUUUUCCAGGCAAAUCCGGAAAAUCAAGGCUGAGGCGUGAUGACGAGGCACUACGGUGCUGAAGCAACAAAUGCCCUGCUUCCAGGAAAAGCCUCUAAGCAUCAGGUAACAUCAAAUCGUACCCCAAACCGACACAGGUGGUCAGGUAGAGAAUACCAAGGCGCUUGAGAGAACUCGGGUGAAGGAACUAGGCAAAAUGGUGCCGUAACUUCGGGAGAAGGCACGCUGAUAUGUAGGUGAAGUCCCUCGCGGAUGGAGCUGAAAUCAGUCGAAGAUACCAGCUGGCUGCAACUGUUUAUUAAAAACACAGCACUGUGCAAACACGAAAGUGGACGUAUACGGUGUGACGCCUGCCCGGUGCCGGAAGGUUAAUUGAUGGGGUCAGCGCAAGCGAAGCUCUUGAUCGAAGCCCCGGUAAACGGCGGCCGUAACUAUAACGGUCCUAAGGUAGCGAAAUUCCUUGUCGGGUAAGUUCCGACCUGCACGAAUGGCGUAAUGAUGGCCAGGCUGUCUCCACCCGAGACUCAGUGAAAUUGAACUCGCUGUGAAGAUGCAGUGUACCCGCGGCAAGACGGAAAGACCCCGUGAACCUUUACUAUAGCUUGACACUGAACAUUGAGCCUUGAUGUGUAGGAUAGGUGGGAGGCUUUGAAGUGUGGACGCCAGUCUGCAUGGAGCCGACCUUGAAAUACCACCCUUUAAUGUUUGAUGUUCUAACGUUGGCCCCUGAUCGGGGUUGCGGACAGUGUCUGGUGGGUAGUUUGACUGGGGCGGUCUCCUCCUAAAGAGUAACGGAGGAGCACGAAGGUUGGCUAAUCCUGGUCGGACAUCAGGAGGUUAGUGCAAUGGCAUAAGCCAGCUUGACUGCGAGCGUGACGGCGCGAGCAGGUGCGAAAGCAGGUCAUAGUGAUCCGGUGGUUCUGAAUGGAAGGGCCAUCGCUCAACGGAUAAAAGGUACUCCGGGGAUAACAGGCUGAUACCGCCCAAGAGUUCAUAUCGACGGCGGUGUUUGGCACCUCGAUGUCGGCUCAUCACAUCCUGGGGCUGAAGUAGGUCCCAAGGGUAUGGCUGUUCGCCAUUUAAAGUGGUACGCGAGCUGGGUUUAGAACGUCGUGAGACAGUUCGGUCCCUAUCUGCCGUGGGCGCUGGAGAACUGAGGGGGGCUGCUCCUAGUACGAGAGGACCGGAGUGGACGCAUCACUGGUGUUCGGGUUGUCAUGCCAAUGGCACUGCCCGGUAGCUAAAUGCGGAAGAGAUAAGUGCUGAAAGCAUCUAAGCACGAAACUUGCCCCGAGAUGAGUUCUCCCUGACUCCUUGAGAGUCCUGAAGGAACGUUGAAGACGACGACGUUGAUAGGCCGGGUGUGUAAGCGCAGCGAUGCGUUGAGCUAACCGGUACUAAUGAACCGUGAGGCUUAACCUU